UCACCCUCAAUAGACCAUGGUUCCUUUAGGU
rnacentral:piRNA from 1 species